UUUCAGCCCUUUUGACUGCUUCCGUGCAAGAUUCCAUCCUUUGUUCCUGGUACUGCUUGCACUUGUAAAUGCUUGAUUAGCAGUUCAUCAGGUGAGGUCUUCCCCUCACCAGCUCCAGAAGGAGGGAGGCAAGAUGGUGAGUACAUGCUGAUGCAUGCUGUCCUCAGAGUCAUAGAAUCAUAGAAUAGUUAGGGUUGGAAAGGACCUUAAGAUCAUCAAGUUCCAACCCCCCUGCCAUGGGCAGGGACACCUCACACUAAAUGGGUCAGAUGUCACCCAUGUCACCCAAGGCUCUGUGCAACCUGUCCUUGAACACCUCCAUGGGAGACAUGUGGCUAGGAUACACCCAUUCUACUUCUGCUUUUAAAAUGAUAAAAUUUUAGGUGAUGGAUUGAUGAAAUAUUGAAAACUUGCAUGAAAUUGGAGGUGAAUAAUUAUGUAAUCUAAAUAUAUAAAAGAAAGCUCAAAGACAGGAACAAACAUGUUAUGCAAAUACUGAAUUCCUUCAAUAAAAACAAAGGAAGAGCACCCCAUGACUGUAGUAAGGUCAGGAUGUAGUGAAGAAAGUGGAACUGAAAACAGCAGAAAUGCUAAACUUAACUAUUUGGGUUUUCCUCUUUGAGUACAGUUACAAUCCUAAUGAAAGCUCAUGGGUAGUUGCAGUUGUCCUGGUAUAUAGCUGCUUCUUGUUUCAUUCAGAGAGAAUACGUGACACUUGUAAAAUGGUGCAUCCAUGCAAGUGUGGUGGGGCUACUCUGCCCAAGCCCAUGAAGGAAUUCGGCAGCAGCAAUGAGGGAAGGGGAGAGGGAAACAAUGAGCAAAAAGUGUAAUUUGGGCAGCAAAUAUAGGAAGAAAGAAAAGAAAGAGCAUGGAAGCACAGUUGACAAAAGGUUAUGAUAAUAAAUACCAUGCUGCAGCUGCCCCAGCACUGAAAACACCACUGGGUGCUUGCAGGGCACCUCAUUUGCUUGGCAUGAGGCCAUGGAGCCAAGCAGGGAGUGCCAGGUGGGUGACGGGCUGUGGAGCAGUGGGAAACUGCCCCAAUGUUCUUGUUUCUGUACACAGUGACAAAGAGACAUGUCUGAGACCUAGGCAGAUGCCUCAGCACAGCCUUUCCUUUGGUGUACAGUGUCUCCUGUGGAUUGUUUUGAAGACUGAGGAAAAGUUACUUGCAGUCGCCAAGAAGGAAGUAGGGAAAGCCCUGAAAGAAGCCUUUGAUAUUGGGAAACCCCCUUGUGC
rnacentral:lncRNA from 14 species